rnacentral:rRNA from 1 species
UCGACUUUGGGAUAACUUCAGGAAACUGGGGCUAAUACCGGAUAGGAGCUCCUGCUGCAUGGUGGGGGUUGGAAAGUUUCGGCGGUUGGGGAUGGACUCGCGGCUUAUCAGCUUGUUGGUGGGGUAGUGGCUUACCAAGGCUUUGACGGGUAGCCGGCCUGAGAGGGUGACCGGCCACAUUGGGACUGAGAUACGGCCCAG